rnacentral:tRNA from 1 species
AGGGCAUAGCUCAGUGAUACAGUGUGUGCUUGGUAGUCACAAGAUCCUGGGUUCAAUCCCCAAUGCCUCUG